UCCCACCCCUUUUUUUUUCCCCCCCCUUUUCCCUUUUCCCCGCCAUGGCACGGCCCCCCCCAGCGCCGAGCCGACCCCCCCCGCUUCCCGGCGCCGGUAUGAGUCAGGUGUGAGGCCCCCGCCGGGAGGAGGCAGCCCCCGCCGCAGCCUCGCUGGGGGCAGCCCUGACGCUGCUGCUGCUGCUGCUGCUGGGGUUUUCCUUUUUUUUUUCUUUUCCUUUUUUUUUUUUUUUUUGGCCUUUUCUUUUUUAUUUUGGUCGCCCCCCCCAAUCCCUUUUUCCCCUCCUCCUUCCCUUCCCUCCCUCCCGUGUCGCCGUCAGGGAAUCCAGCGCUGCACCGAAGCCAGAAGAGAGGGAGCAAAAACCCAACCCAGGCCGAAAGCUGCGUCCAAAACAAAACCCACCGUUUUUAUUGCAAAGGAGAUUUUUUUUUCCUUUUUUUUUUUUUUUUUUCUUUUUAAUUUUUAUUAUUAUUUUUUAAUCCUGACCCGAAACGUAGGGGAGGAAGCGGAGUCGGGGCAGGAAGGCUUUCCCGGUAUAUUUAUUUUCUCCCCCCGCAGAGGUGUCUCCUCCGGCCGCCGGCUCACCAUGAUGUUUCGAGACCAGGUCGGCGUGUUGGCCGGUUGGUUCAAGGGCUGGAACGAGUGCGAGCAGACGGUGGCCCUGCUCUCGCUGCUGAAACGCGUCAGCCGGACCCAGGCCCGCUUCCUCCAGCUCUGCCUGGAGCACUCCCUGGCAGACUGCACCGAGCUCCACAUCCUCGAAGGGGAAGCCAACAACCCCGGAAUCAUUAACCAAUGGCAACAGGAAUCCAAGGAUAAAGUGAUUUCUCUAUUGUUAACCCACCUGCCUUUACUGAAGCCCGGAAACAUCGAGGCAAAAGUCGAGUACAUGAAACUCUUGCCUAAAAUCCUGGCCCACUCGAUCGAACACAACCAACACAUUGAGGAGAGCAGGCAACUGCUGUCCUACGCCUUGAUACACCCCGCCACCUCCUUAGAGGACAGGAGCGCCCUGGCCAUGUGGCUCAACCACCUGGAGGACCGCACGUCGGGUGGCUUCGGCAGCCAGAGCAGAGGUCGGUCGGAUUCGGUGGACUACGGGCAGACGCAUUACUAUCACCAAAGACAAAACUCCGACGACAAACUCAACGGAUGGCAAAACUCUCGAGACUCGGGCAUAAGCGUCAGCGCUUCCAGCUGGCAGGACAAAAACCUGGCGUGCGAGAAUGGCCAUCUACCCCUCUACUCCUCCUCCUCCGUCCCCACAACCAUCAACACCAUCGGCACUAGCACAAGCACCAUUCUCUCAGGCCAGACACACCACAGCCCUUUGAAACGCUCUGUGUCCCUUACCCCACCCAUGAAUGUGCCAAACCAACCUCUAGGACAUGGAUGGAUGUCUCAUGAGGACUUACGAGCUAGAGGACCCCAGUGCAUCCCUUCCGAUCAUGCCCCCCUGUCUCCACAAAGCAGUGUAGCCUCUUCGGGAAGUGGUGGGAGUGAACAUUUAGAAGAUCAGCCUUCCGCUCGUAACACAUUCCAGGAGGAAGGGAGUGGGAUGAAAGAUGUCCCAGCCUGGCUGAAGAGCCUCCGGCUGCACAAGUACGCCGCUCUCUUCUCGCAGAUGACGUACGAGGAGAUGAUGGCCCUCACCGAAUGCCAGCUCGAGGCACAAAACGUUACCAAAGGCGCAAGACACAAAAUAGUCAUCAGUAUCCAAAAGCUAAAAGAAAGACAAAACCUGCUCAAAUCUUUAGAAAGAGACAUCCUGGAAGGUGGCAACUUGCGUGUCCCGCUGCAGGAACUACACCAAAUGAUCCUCACCCCCAUCAAAGCCUACUCUUCCCAAAACUCGAGCACGGAGGAGCACAGCCGGGACGCGGAUUCGCAUCACCCCUCCUCCCUGAUCGGCUCAGACAGCCAAGGCUCCGACUGCAAGGACUCUGCCGCGGGGGGGAUGCAGCAGCACCAGUUGGCGGGAUGCGAGGGCGAGUCGGGGGGGGCCCCUUUACCUGAAGGCGACCUGCCCGGGCAGUUCACCAGAGUGAUGGGGAAAGUAUGCACACAACUUUUAGUUUCCCGACCCGAUGAAGAGAAUAUAAGUUCCUAUUUACAGCUCAUAGACAAAUGUCUAAUCCACGAGGCGUUUACAGAGAUCCAGAAGAAGCGGCUGCUGUCAUGGAAACAGCAGGUGCAGAAACUCUUUCGGUCUUUCCCUCGGAAAUCCCUCCUGGAGCUGUCAGGCUAUCGGCAGCAGAGGAGCCGAGGCUUUGGCCAGUCGAACUCCUUACCGACAGCCGGAUCCGCAGGGGCAGGACUGGGCCGGCGAAACCCCCGCCAGUUCCAGAUCCCCUCCCGCAACCUCCCCACCGCCCGGCUGGGGCUGCUGGGUCCCAGCGGGCUGCUGGGCACCCCCCAGCGCAGCCCCGCCGCCAGCCCCGCCAUCCUCAAGCAAGGCAGACAGAACCUCUGGUUUGCCAACCCCGGGGGCAGCAACAGUAUGCCCAGCCGGAGCCACAGCUCGGUGCAAAGGACGCGCUCGCUGCCGGUCCACACCUCUCCGCAGACCAUGCUGAUGUUUCAGCAGCCAGAGUUCCAGGUGCCGGUGACUGAACCUGACAUCAACAACAGGCUGGAGUCGCUGUGCCUGAGCAUGACGGAGCACGCGCUCAGCGGUGAGCACUCCCUCCUCCUCGGGCUUUUCCAGCACGUCCACGCCGCCUCCGCCAAGCCCCCCGGCACCUGCCCCGCGGCCCCCAAAAGCUGGGACAGGCUGUGGCUGUGAGGGGACGGGACGGCGGCGGGGCUGGAUGCGGAGAUGCUCCCAGGGAUGCUCCCGGGGACCGGGGGGGUCGGACGGGGACGGCGGCUUCUCUCGGCGAGGUAGCCGGGGCAGGGGGUAAAAACCGAACGCAGGGCUCGCGCCCGGCGCUAGUGAAGUCUGUGCUUAUUAGCCGCGAGUAAGCUUGCUAAUAAUAAUGAGUAUUAGCUCGCUAGGCUGUUAUUAGUUCUCGAUAAAGCCCUUGCCACCGGCGUGCUCGAAUGGUUCGCGGGCUUCGGAGUAUUUUACCCUUCUGCCACCGGCAUCCCUCGUUCGGCCGAGGGGCGCGGGAGCCCCAAGGCACGGGGCUAAAUCCCUGCCGCGGGCUGCAGGGUGCUGUGCCGGGCGCUGUGCCGGCUUCCUCGCCCGUGCCUGGGGCGGCUGCGGAUGCCAACCCCGGGCGGGCGGAUAACGGGCACGGGGAGGGAGGAGGACCAGGCAGAAAAACAGACAGAAAAGGUGGAAAAGGCAGCGGGAGCGUGAUGGAGAGCCCCGGUGCGGCAAAAAGCACCGGCACCAGCGGCGCCUGGUGCCCCUCGCCGAUGCGCUGGACCCCCCCCAAGCACGAAGGAUGACCCCCCCCCCACACCCCCCGACCCCCGGCAAUGGGACGAGCACGGCCGCCGGCAUCGCCCAGACCCUCCCGAAUAACCAGCUCGGGUCUCGUCCCCCCGGCAAUCCCCGGACUGCGUCGUACGGCUGAGGACAGGAACGCUCGGGGAGGACGAGAGCCGCCGGGCUCCCUGCAGCGAUGCAACAGCCCGGGACGCGAGAGCGAGGACUGGAAGAAGCAGCAGGGCCCUGGCAGUGCCACGGCAGCAUCCUCGGCCGGGAAAAACAAGGACACUUCUGUCACCCAAAGCAUUUCUCCGGCGUGUGCCCAGGAGAGGCUUAGCUGUCUCGUUCCUCUGCAGGAUGGCGUUGACCGAACUUCCACGAUCUAGAAGGCGUCGCGACGGGGACGCUGGCCGGGAGAACAACUGCUGCGGGUCCAGCGGCGAGGUCGGGGCUUGCAGGGAGCCUCAGCGAUAGCUUGCAUCCUUUCUCCUCUCUCUCCUCUCCUCUCUCUUUCUCUCUCUCUCUCUCCUGUUUUAAUUUUGUGAAUGUGUAGAUUGUCCUUGUGAACAUAUCAUUAGACUUGGAAUUUGUGUUGUCAUUUAUUACAUCCAUGCUAGGGGGGAAAAAAAGCAAAAAAAAAAAAAAAAAAAAAAUAGUGGCAAAAAGUCAACGACGACGAUGAAAAAGCAUGGGGAGGGUGGGGCGGGGGGGGGGACGCGGCAGGAGAGUGCUGACAACGGAGGGUUCACCGGAGCAUCGAGGGCAAACCCUGUUUCUGGACGAGGAUACGAAUGAAUAGUGAAUAUCACGCGGGGGUGUGUGUGUGUGACCAAAAACCCUUUGGGAAGGAUUUGCCUGUCCUGCCGGGAGCUUCGGGGCCGGUGGUCCCAUCCCUUGAGUUUCGCUGCGUUCAGGCACGGACUGGCCUGGAAAGCCCAGAUUUUAAAAAAAAAAAAAAAACAAACAAAAAAAAACCAACCAAACCCAAAAUUUCCUUUCAGUUUAGCCAAGAGCAUCCGCAGUUUCGAGGCCAGCGUUGUGCACGGGGCAGCGGAGCCGGAGGGUCGGGGUACGGGGACGCGGCGGGGGGGCAUCUCGCCCGGCCGGGGGUCCCGGGGGAUGUCGGUAAAGCGGGGGUCGGAGCGGGGGGGGGGGGGGGAUGCUGGCUGAGUUUCCGUGUCUCUUGCCUUGCCUUUGCGGGUACCGGGAAGGUGUUGCAUCCGUGGCUUUACACAUCUACCCCCCGCCCAGCCUGCCAAAAACCCAGCGAUAACGGGCUUUUCCAGCCCCGGGACGGCCGAUGAGGGAUGAAGGCUUUUUGGGAGGGAGCGUGCAGUUUUAUUUAGCCAAAUAAAAAACCGAAGGGCACCAAAAUGCAGCUUCACAGCCCCAUUUUCUUGGCAUUAUACGUGUGCCGGAGAGGAGACGUGGAUGAUGGCAGUGGCUCGGCUGCCCGCUCCCCCGCCGCUGUGUCGCUUUUUAUAACGGGGAGCUAAAUUUGGUCCGAGGGCAUUAAAUAGAUAAAUCCCACACGGCGCUGCUCAAGCCUGUGCUCAAAGCGAGGUCGGGGCCAGAAAAACCAUCGGAUGUUUCGCAGCGAUGCUCGGCGGAGCAGCGGCUUCGCUCCCGCCGGUCCUGAUGCCGCUCCGAGUCCUCUGAUGGAAUAAGAAUAAAUUUAAAAUUAAUUAAUGAAGGGAGGUGACGGGUGGAGGCGGCAGCCACGGGGGUCGCAGCGAUAUUCCCAAAAAAUGGGCUCGGCCGUGAGCACCGAUGGGUAGCGGCGUGUGCCGGGAUCGGCCGGAGCAGGGCUGGGGGGGAACCAGAGCAUCGGCUGGGAUGGGAGAUGUGUGAAUCCAUUUGCCAUGCAGCAUUUUUAAGUUGUUUUUCUUAAAAAAAAAAAACACAAAAAAAACAAAAAACAAAAAACCAAAACCAACCAAAAAAAAAAGUGCUAUAUGCAAUGUUUUAUGUUUGCUGUUCCUUGGUGUCCUGCUUCCCGGCAGGCAUGAGAUUUGGGGGUGGGGGGGGGGUGCGCAGGGUGGGGGGAGCGGAGAAGGGAAAACCCGAAAGCGAGGGAGGUUGGGAAGAGGUGUGAGGAGGUGAAGGCGAAGCGGGGGGCCGGGGGGGGCUGAGCCGCAGGCGCCGGCCGGCGCUGGGGACCUGGGUUAUCCCCCCCCCCCCGAGCACCCCCAGGUUGUACGAAACUGAGGUGUGAACACAACCACCGUAGCAGGAGCCUUCCCCAGGCUCAGAUGUAUUUACGGAGCUGAAAUUCUAUUUAUUCCUUUGCUGACUAUAGAAACAGAGGUUAUCUGAUUGUUAAGAGAUAUUAUUUUGGAUAUAUUACCUAUUAACUUGCUAUGGCUGGUAACCAUCAUAAUGUCUGUUAUUAACAACCACCAAAUAAUUCAAUUGUUUUUACCUUUUGUUUUAAAAAAAAAAAAAAGCUUAUUUUCCAUUGACAGUGUAUAGGUUAAUAACGACUUAGUUGUGUUUGCUGUUUCUUGUUUGUUUUUUUUUUUUUUUUUUAAGUACAAAAAACAAGUGGCUUCAGUUGCGUUCGGGAAGUCCUGCCUGGCUCUGGGGUGCCUGUGCUGAGUGCAGGCAGCAGAGCUCCAGUGAAAGAAGUUUAAAAAAAAAAAAAAAAAAAAAAAAAAAAAAAAAAAAAAAAAAAAAAAAAGCUCGAAUCCUAAAAGAAAAUAAAAAUUAUUUAUAAAAAGAAAAAAGAAAAAAAAAAAAAAAAACAAACAGUUGCAUGAGUGAGGCUGUGAAGUCAAAUCUUUAGUAAUAAAGCGGCAGUGCCUUUCUUUUUUGUAUUCACCCGUUCACCCCACGUGCAACUGUUUUGUACCACGCGCGCGCCGUGGCGAGGGAGCCGUCGCCGCGGCGGGGGCCCUCGGCGUCGGGUGGGCAUCUCAUCCCCCCUCUUCCCUGCUCUCCCAGAAACAGCCCUUGGCCCCCCGCCUUGCCCCAGCACCCACCGGGGACCUUUUACUGGUGCUGUUCCCCUGAGCCGUCCCCGGCUGCAGCGGGGGAGGCCGGCCAGCUCAGCGCCCAAGUGUCCUUGGGUCCGGCGGAUGCUCCCCGCGGCUGCGACACCCAGGGAAAAAGGGAAAAAAAAAAAAAAAAAAAACCACAAAAACCAACCUUUUCUUUCGAGGUGUCUUCCCCCUCCCCAGGGACAAGCCCUGAGCUCGGCUGGACUUGAGCUGGGUUUUGCCUUUGCUUGCUCAGCUCAUUUAAAAAAAAAAAAAAAAAAAUUCUUUUUUUUUUUUGGGGGGGGGGGGGCGGUCAAGGCCAGCCAGCAUCCAGCAGGAAAAAUCCAAAACUGUGAUUUUUACGCCCGCAAGCGGCGCGGAGCGAAGCUCGAGUUUGGUCAGCACUUAGGGAAAUUAUUUCUGUUAUCACCUUUCUCCAUGUCGGGGUGCGGCCGUGCCCCAGGUUUGGCUUUCUGAAUGUGCCUGAUGGAAAGUGGGUCCUGCAGACGUCUAUAAUUUGCACACAGCGACGAUAACACUAAAGUUGAUUUUAUACGAGUCAUCAGAGUUUGCAAAGUGAGUUUUAUUUUUUGUAUUCCUUUAUCUUUACUUAAAGGUGAAUGUGUAUUCCUCUGGGAGGAAUAGGAAGAAAAAAAAAAAAAAACAGGAAUGUUAAUAAUGUUAAACAGAAUACUUCCUCCCUUAUUAAUAUAUAUAUAUAACCCUUAUGUAUUUAUGCAUAUUGUAAGCUCACUUUAAAAAGCUUUGAACUCUCUUCUGUUGCAUGCCGUUCCCGGGCAGCCUUUUAUUGUACAUGCAUGCCUUUAGUCCUGGUUUUUCUGUACAAAGUUAGUGCACAAAGAACUAUUUUUGCCUAGUUAAUGUUGCCGAGCAAUGCAUAUUUUUUAAAUUUUUUUUUUUUGGUCAUAUAUGGAAAUAGCAUGUUUGUUACAUGUAAAAGCUUCCCGAUAUAAAGAAAUACUAAUGUUUGGAGAUGCCGGUCUUUGCAAGUGUACAGUUUUCAAAUGUUGUUCCCAGUGAAACACCCUCGUGAUUUCAACUUGCUCCGAUGUAUUUAUUACUCAUUUCCUCCCAUGUAACUAGGAAUCAUGGCUAUAUUUCAUAUCAACGUUAUAUUGAAAGUGAAGGGAGAUGAUUAAUACAAGGUUUUGUAACA